AUGGCAUCGCCACAAGAAUCCAAACCCUUGUGCUUGAAGCGCAAGCUUGUCGACAACUGCCUGUCAAAAGAUUGCAAGUCUCGUCGAGUCGUGGUUGACAAUGGACCCUCUGAUCCAUCUGCUAAACGGUGCAAGUGCUGUUGCACGCGACCUAAUCUUGCUAGUGAUUGCGUCAAUUACCUGAAAAGUGGAGUUCCCAGCCGUAUCGUGUUUUACAAACAAGAUUCUUGGCACAAUUUUCCUGAGCUAAUAAUGAAGUCCCUGAUUGAAGGAUUUAAAGGCGGCAAAUCUAGUGUUGUGGCUGUGAUGGAUGAUGAGCCUGUUCUUGUUGAUUUCUUGUCAAUGAGUCUUGUCAACCUACAAACAAGAAAACAGCGAUCUGUUGCAUGGUAUGAUGAUACUGGAAAGGGCUUUUUCCCUUCUCUGUUCUUUGACGAGGAAGGUGAUGAAACGGCCAAUUUGGACUCUAGUAAUGUUGAGGAUGGUGCACAGGGAAUAAUGCUGGAUAAGGCUGUAAGUUCUCCAGAGGAAGUGGUGAAGCAAGUUGUUCUUGAAUCUGGCCCUCCGGGGCCACAUAAGCCUUCCACUGCAGACAUAUUACGUAAAAAGAUCACAUCUGUGGAAAGAGGAAGCGAAGACUUUUUGCUUGUUCAGGACCUUUUUCUCUCUGGUAUGGGUCCGUUUGCAACACCGAAUAACAUACUUCAUAUCCACCGCUACUCCCCGAAUGAUAUCACUGCUCAGUGUCGACUUCAAGCUUUUGAAAAACAAAUGAGCUGCACCAAAGAAGAUCGUGGUGAUUCAAAUGUAAGAUAUGGAUGGCUGGGUUCUACGAAGAGUGACAUAGUUAGGAUUCUAAUUAAUGGGUUUGGUAACACCGGAAAACCUGCUGAGAAGGCAUGCUUGAGCGCUGGUGUUUAUCUUUCACCAGAAGAUCGAGCCUUUACCAGUGUCGGUCUUUGUGAUGUUGACGAAAAAGCGGUGCAGUAUAUGUUAUUGUGCCGAGUGAUAUUGGGCAACAUGGAAGCUAUCACGCCUGGAUCACAAGAUUCUUUUCCAAGCAGCGAGAUAUAUGAUUCUGGAGUUGAUGAUUGCUCCAACCCAAAGUGUUAUGUUAUGUGGCCAUCCCAUCUUAACACUCACAUCCGUUUAGAAUAUCUUGUUAGUUUCAGACUUUCACCAAAAGUUCGAAAUUAUUUACUUGGCUUGAAGGGUUUAUGGUUUCACCCAUCACCAAAAGAAGUUGCUAUGGAUAUUUCUACUCUUCAACCUAUAAUGGGUGAAACUGGUGAAGCACCAACAUCCCCAUGGAUAUCCUUCAGAGUUCUGUUUGCAAUGAUCCAAGACAAUAUAUCAUCUGUAGCAAAGGAACUGCUCUUCCAUCAUUAUGAAGAGCUGAAGGAAAACGAAAUAAGUCGUGAAGAAAUGGUGAAGAAGAUGAUAAUAAUAGUCGGAGAAAAGUUACUUUUGGAAACUUUAAAGAAGCUCCAUUACUGUCCAUCACUAUGGCAUAAAUCUUCUGUCGAAGUGAUGUCCAGUGAUCCUGCAAGGGUAGCAGCAGAAGAUCCUGCAAGGACAACAGAAGAAUACAUAUCCUUGGAUAAAACAACUGGGCAUUGUGCACUAACUCUUGGUAACCUUGGUGAUUCCUGUGGACCAAAUACAUUGGCUGAAAGUUCCACAGCUCUUAGCACCAAAGGAUGUGAUACUCUUGCAGUAGCUACGGUGCCCAAAAGCCAUGAUUCUGUCGCACCAAGCAGUGUGCCUGAAACAUCUACUUCUUCUGGUGGCAUAUGCCUAGCUUCCCCAAGUGUGAAACCCAAAAGUAGGGAUUCUCCUAUACGAAUAAUGUCACCUGAAAGCUCUGCAAAUCAUGGUGCCAAAAAUCAGGAUCCUUCUGCAGCUAGAAUGGCACCUACACUUCAUGACGUCCUUCGGAGGACAGCUUCUGGAAAAUCUGCAUCUCGUGGUGCGGAAGGUAGCAAUGGUGUUGCACCAAGUAUGAGACCUCAUGGUUAUGCUUCUCCAGCACCAACUAAUGCCUCAAAAGGCCGUGGGAUUGGUGCUCCGGGACUCAGUCUGAAGGGCUCUGAAUGUCCUGGGCCAGUUUUGGCACUGGGAAGCACCAAAUUCAGAGGGAUGAAAAGUCCCAGCUCUGUGCCAAGAAUGACACCUGAAGGCCCGGAAUUUCUUUCACUGAGUAUUGCGCCACAAAGCCAAGUAAUUUAUCCAACUAAGUGCCAUGGUGGUGAUUUGAGUUCUUCUGUCGCAGCUCCAGCUCACGUGCCAGGACAUGUGAACUCUUCAGCUUUGAGCGCUGAAGGCUGCGAUUCUCUAGCACUGAGUAUCGCGCCAAACUGCCAUGAUCCUCCAGCAUCAAGCAAUAACGAGCCAGCGUUCCAUGGGGCUCCAACAACAAAUACAGCAUCUGAAGGCGAGCACUCUCAGGCGCCGAGUGCAGCCACCAUGGAUUAUACUGCUCCUGCACCGACAACCGGGGAGGCCGUACAAUUUGGACCCUGCAAUAAGCCAUCGGCGCCCGUCCCUGAGCCCGGCAGCAACGUCGCUCAGGCGGCUGACAUCCUCGUCGCCCUGUCAACUCCGCGAGAGAAGGGCAAGUAG
rnacentral:rRNA from 1 species